GAAGCUCCCCUUGUGGUACCUGACAGAGACUGGAAACAUCCAGGCUGCACGGGCCAUACUCACCUUGACUUCACAAAAACAGCUCAGCGAUUGUCAUGACAACCUGAAGAGAGGACGCUCUGUGCAGCCACCCAGCGUGGGGACAGAGGGUCCCUGUGACAUGAUGAAGGUGGUGCUGGACAGCCACCCGGAUUAGAGAGAGGGUCCCGGUGACACGAUCAAAGUGUAAGAUGAAGAAUUCA